rnacentral:rRNA from 1 species
AGUGAACGCUGGCGGUAGGCCUAACACAUGCAAGUCGAACGGCAGCACAGUAAGAGCUUGCUCUUACGGGUGGCGAGUGGCGGACGGGUGAGGAGUACAUCGGAAUCUACUUUUUCGUGGGGGAUAACGUAGGGAAACUUACGCUAAUACCGCAUACGACCUACGGGUGAAAGCAGGGGAUCUUCGGACCUUGCGCGAUUGAAUGAGCCGAUGUCGGAUUAGCUAGUUGGCGGGGUAAAGGCCCACCAAGGCGACGAUCCGUAGCUGGUCUGAGAGGAUGAUCAGCCACACUGGAACUGAGACACGGUCCAGACUCCUGCGGGAGGCAGCAGUGGGGAAUAUUGGACAAUGGGCGCAAGCCUGAUCCAGCCAUACCGCGUGGGUGAAGAAGGCCUUCGGGUUGUAAAGCCCUUUUGUUGGGAAAGAAAAGCAGCAGGUUAAUACCCCGCUGUUCUGACGGUACCCAAAGAAUAAGCACCGGCUAACUUCGUG